rnacentral:misc_RNA from 1 species
UGUGGGAGCGAGCCUGCUCGCGAUGGGGCCAUCACAUUCAACAUCUAUGUCGACUGUGAUGCCGCCAUCGCGAGCAGGCUCGCUCCCACA